GCGAGGGCUGCGAGCGACGAGAGAUCUGGCGCGAGGCCGCUGCUGCUGCUGUGCGAGUUGUGCGACGAAGCUCGAAGCGUGCGCGAGGCUGCUGCUGUGCGAAUCGAGGGCUGGUUCGAGCGUAGCCGUGCGGCUGCUGUGGUAGAGCGCGGGGUUGUGUGCCGUUGCCGAAAAUCGGUCGCCGGAACUUGAUUUCCGGCGAGCUUAACGACUAGGUGUGCUGGUGCUGCUGCAUAAUCUCGAGCAUACGGGGACUAGGCUUGGGUAUUUACAUUUAAAGCAUUUUGAAAUAAGUAUUAUUGGUUUUUCUAAGACUUAUAUAUGGUUUGUGGUUUGAAUGAAAGGGGUCAUUGAUGAUUCCCGAGUUGUAUUUAUAUUUUAA